GUGAAAAUCCCGUACUUGCCAUGGAAGUACCGUGCUUUGUGAUACACGCUCCAAGAGUCGAGUAGUUUGGGAUUGCUGCUCAAAGUGGGUGGUAGACUCCAUCUAAAGCUAAAUAUCGGGGAGAGACCGAUAGCGAACAAGUACCGUGAGGGAAAGAUGAAAAGCACUUUGGAAAGAGAGUUAAAAGUACGUGAAAUUGUCGAAAGGGAAGCACUUGAAGUCAGCCAU
rnacentral:rRNA from 1 species